rnacentral:rRNA from 1 species
GCUAGUUGUACGAGUUCCACUCGUAGCAAUAGCUCAGUAACACGUGGCCAAACUACCCUCUGGAGCGCGAUAACCUCGGGAAACUGAGGCUAAUAGUGCAUACCGCUCGACGCCUGGAACUGGCUCGAGCCCGAAAUGCCCCGGCGCCAGAGGAUGUGGCUGCGGCCGAUUAGGUAGACGGUGGGGUAACGGCCCACCGUGCCAAUAAUCGGUACGGGUUGUGAGAGCAAGAGCCCGGAGACGGUAUCUGAGACAAGAUACCGGGCCCUACGGGGCGCAGCAGGCGCGAAACCUUUACACUGCACGCCAGUGCGAUAAGGGGACUCCAAGUGCGAGGGCAUAACGUCCUCGCUUUUCUCGACCGUAAGGUGGUCGAGGAAUAAGGGCUGGGCAAGACCGGUGCCAGCCGCCGCGGUAAUACCGGCAGCCCAAGUGAUGGCCGCUCUUAUUGGGCCUAAAGCGUCCGUAGCUGGCCGCGCAAGUCCAUCGGGAAAUCUGUCCGCUUAACGGACAGGCGUCCGGUGGAAACUGUGCGGCUUGNGACCGGAAGACCAGAGGGGUACGUCCGGGGUAGGAGUGAAAUCCUGUAAUCCUGGACGGACCACCGGUGGCGAAAGCGCCUCUGGAAGACGGAUCCGACGGUGAGGGACGAAAGCUCGGGUCACGAACCGGAU